CCCCUUUCUUCAAACCGUGGCCUAGGGAAGCAUAAAAAAUUGAUGUAGCGCAGACGUGUCAAGCAUCAGGCAGGGGAGCUCCAUAGGAUUCGAAAUUAAAGGUGAAGAGCAAUCCAUUGGCCCAUGUCUCUCUAGAAAAACUAAAAAGGCUUUUAAUCCUUCUCAGUUCGGCAUCCCUCUUCCUGCAAACCUUCCAUUUUAUUUUUCAGCCCUCUCUCUCUUCUUCAUCAACCCCAAUGCAUCUCUACUCUCUCUCUAAAAUCAUGGCUCUCAGAAACGCAAAAUCCUUCUGUCUCUUAGAAAUUCAGCCACCUCCUCUCUCGGAUCUCUGCCCUCGCAGCCCUUUCUCUCUCAAAUCUUCUCUGCCGGCAACUGAACAACGUACCUCCCCCUUUGUUGACUAGCCCAUCCGUGGUAGAAAAUCGGAAAAACUGACAGCCAAAGCUGUUUGAGGACCCCCAAUAAUUUCAAAUCCGAGACAACAACACAAGAACAACACCCUGAAUCUCCAUCUCAUCUCAACAAAAUCAUGUUUCCCAAGCCGUAAGCCAUCACAGAUUCGAGUGACAGUCUUGUAGAUCGAGACCACUGCACACAGGCAACGGUGUCCGAGAUGCACCAAGAGACUGAAGAGACAACCUCGAAGAGCUCCCAAACUCACGGAUCUGCAAAUUAUUAGCGUACAACCGAGAGACAACAACCUGGAGCUUCCGGUCUAGUGGUUACGGAAGGCAGCAUAAAUGACAAAUGUCUCGGCCUCUGCAAAUAAGUAAGAACAAGCGGAUCCAGGACAGAUCCGAAAGAAAGAAUGCUCAACUGGAUAUCCAUCAGACAAAAGGCAGGACACAUCGCAACAGCAAUGACUUAGCAACCUUGAAGGCGGAUCACUGAUAGAUCCGAGGGAAAGAAAAAGGUGGACAAAGAUUAGCUUCAAUACGGUACAAGUUGCCAAGAGCCCAGAUCGGUGAAUCUGGGAGGUCAAAGACUGAUUUCAGAAACCUCUCCUGCAGAGGACGAACCCGCUGCAAAUUUUGCUCUCUGCGUUUCCUCCUUAAAUGCUGCUCAAAUUCUGGAUCAAGUGAAAUCAAUUUCUGCACUGUUGAACGGGUGCUGACCAUGCACAGAUUUCUGAAAUCUGUACUGUUGUACUGUUGUAAUCUGUAAAAAUAAAAUAUAAACGAAAAUUAAAUAUUUUUUUUAUAUGUAUAAACAGCAAUAAUUAAUUGAAAAUCUGAUUCGUGGGGAUUAUUUUAAAUAAUCCCCGGCAACGGCGCCAUUUUCU